GGCAGAUCACACGGCCACAGCUUCACCCACGUGCUUGGAGACUCCUCCAUCCACCCCUGGUGAAAAGCAACCCCAGACGUCUGUGUUUGUCGUACGUUUUGUGACAGCCAGUGAGCAUGAAGGGACAGCUGGUCGUUAUGUGGCAGUCACACGGCAUAGACCUGGAGAUCUACAUCCUCCCAGUGAUGAGCUUCGGAGAGUCUUGUUAUCUCUGUCAUCCUAUAAGAAGAACAUCCCUGGAGAUGAGACACGUGGAGCUGAGCUUCCUGGGCAGAAUCCAGCUUAGAUCAGCUGACC